AGGGUUCAUAGCCUUUUCCCAGCACUGAGUGUGGUACUGGGCAAAUCUCUCUCUGGAACCAAGUCUUCUCUUCUGUAAGAUCAGCUGGUGUCCCCAUCCCAGAUGUAAAGAGUUGGGUUUCUGUCUGGCUCAGGAAAAGCAGCCCUCAUGGUAGGUUGUGGGAAGCCACAUGUGCCGUUGCAGAGUGGCACUGACUACUGCUGGCCACCACGCAUAAGUUUGGACAAACAACCAAUGUGUACAUAUGCAGUAAAGUUUUUUACAAAGACACUGCCUGGCCUGGGCAUGAUAAUGAGGUUCUGUAAGGUACUGAGAGAGUAACCAAUCAGAUGUGAGACAUGCAAAUGAGGUAUGAUAAUGAGGCUCUGUGAGGUACUGAGAGAGAGUAGCCAAUCAGAUGAGGAACAUGCAAAUGAGGCGUUGUGCAUAACCAAUCCAGGUGUGAGACACGCCUCUCCUAGGCCUAUAAAAGCAGCACCAGUUCUGGGCUCGGGGUCUUUUCGCCUCUACAAUCAAGCUCUCCCAAUAAACGUGUGCUCCUGUUGCAGCGUCGUUCUUGCUGGUCGAGUCCGGUGCGCGCAAGAGUAGGUGUCUCCUUCUGAGUGGAAGGUGAUUAACCUCUGUCCAGCCCUGACAACCCUUCCAGGAUGACAUGUCCCACACUGCUCCAGUCUCUCCCCACACUGCUCCAGUCUCUUCCCACUUCCCACACUGCUCCAGUCUCUCCCCACUCCCCACACUGCUCCAGUCUCUCCCCACUCCCCACACUGCUCCAGUCUCUCCCCACUCUCCACACUGCUCCAGUCUUCUCCACUCCCCACACUACUCCAGUCUCUCUCUCCCCACUCCCCACACUGCUCCAGUCUCUCUCUCCCCACUCCCCACACUGCUCCAGUCUCUCCCCACUCCCCACACUGCUCCAGUCUCUCUCUCCCCACUCCCCACACUGCUCCAGUCUCUCUCCACUCCCCACACUGCUCCAGUCUCUCCCCACUCCCCACACUGCUCCAGUCUCUCCCCACUCCCCACACUGCUCCAGUCUCUCCCCACUCCCCACACUGUUCCAGUCUCUCCCCACUCCCCACACUACUCUAGUCCCUCCCCAUGCUCUUAUCCACUGCUGCAGCAUCUGAAGACACUCUAGCUUGAUCAAGGGGUCAAGGAGUCUGCUACUCCUCAAAUCAAGCUGCUAAUGUGACAUUUGAAGCCACCAGGAAGGCAGCAAGGGCAGAGAAUCCAGGCCACCAUGAGAGCAGGGCUGGCUUCCGAGGUGUUCUUGGCUCAUCAGAUUCCUCCAUGUCAGGUUCAUGUUUCCCUCAGCCACCCCUCCAUCAGUCCUUUUCCUUGAACCAUGCUUUCCUUGUUCCUUUAUUCUCUUGCCUGCCUUGCACACCCAGACACCCACCUUUCUGGUUCUGAGUGUGUGUAUAAGAGCUGUGUUGCGUGCAGAAUCCAUCCAUAAGGGAACAUA
rnacentral:lncRNA from 1 species